rnacentral:rRNA from 1 species
CAGCCAAGUCGUGAGGCGGGGGCUAAUCCCUUAAAGCCAUUCUCAGUUCGGAUUGUAGGCUGAAACUCGCCUACAUGAAGCUGGAGUUACUAGUAAUCGCAGAUCAGAAUGCUGCGGUGAAUGCGUUCCCGGGUCUUGUACACACCGCCCGUCACACCACGGAAGUUGGGGGCGCCCGAAGCCACUUAGCUAACCCAUUUGGGAAGCGAGUGUCGAAGGUGAAAUCAAUAACUGGGGUGAAGUCGUAACAAGGUAAC